rnacentral:piRNA from 1 species
UACAACCUCCAAGAAGUAGUGAAGAGUGCA